rnacentral:rRNA from 1 species
AGCAGCCGCGGUAAUUCCAGCUCCAAUAGCGUAUAUUAAAGUUGUUGCAGUUAAAAAGCUCGUAGUUGAAUUUCGGGGUCAGUAGUUUGGUCGUGCCACUGGUAUGUACUGGGCUCACUGAUUCCUCCUUCCUGAUGAACUGUAAUGCCAUUAAUUUGGUGUUGCGGGGAAACUGGACUGUUACUUUGAAAAAAUUAGAGUGUUUAAAGCAAGCUAACGCUUGAAUACAUUAGCAUGGAAUAAUGAAAUAGGACGUUCGAUCCUAUUUUGUUGGUUUCUAGGAUUGACGUAAUGAUUAAUAGGGAUAGUUGGGGGCAUUAGUAUUCAAUUGUCAGAGGUGAAAUUCUUGGAUUUAUUGAAGACUAACUACUGCGAAAGCAUUUGCCAAGGAUGUUUUCAUUAAUCAAGAACGAAAGUUAGGGGAUCGAAGACGAUCAGAUACCGUCGUAGUCUUAACCAUAAACUAUGCCGACUAGGGAUCGGAUGAUGUAAUUUUUAAUGACUCAUUCGGCGCCUUAAC